CAGCAGCCGCGGUAAUACGUAGGGUGCAAGCGUUGUCCGGAAUUAUUGGGCGUAAAGAGCUCGUAGGCGGUUUGUCGCGUCUGCUGUGAAAUCCCGAGGCUCAACCUCGGGCUUGCAGUGGGUACGGGCAGACUAGAGUGCGGUAGGGGAGAUUGGAAUUCCUGGUGUAGCGGUGGAAUGCGCAGAUAUCAGGAGGAACACCGAUGGCGAAGGCAGAUCUCUGGGCCGUAACUGACGCUGAGGAGCGAAAGCGUGGGGAGCGAACAGGAUUAGAUACCCCCGUAGUCCCUGUCUCUUAUAC
rnacentral:rRNA from 1 species